CUUUAAGAGAAAAAGAAAUCAGAAAUGUGGGGAAUUUUAUGAAAAUAGAAAAAUUGGUUAACUCAAACAGAAGCAAGAGAAGACAAGCAUAUUCAAGGCAUCUGUGAAUCUGGCAAAAAAAAAAAAAAAAAAAAAAAAUCCCGAAAGACAAGUAUUUCUACUCAAGUUGGAGAGCUUGUGAACUUUGUUACAGUUCAAGUUUCAGGAAACAUGAUAAUCCUGGCCUUCAUAUUUGAGGAUUCAUUAAUGAAAUUAUAUUUGGAGAAAGCAUUCAUGCCCAACCUACCAUCUCAGAUUCUGGACCUACUGCCUUGACCUGUUGAUAUCUAAGUCUUGGUGUGGGGAAGAGAAUAAUAAAGACAACUGAGUACUCA
rnacentral:lncRNA from 12 species